GCGGCGUCCCGCACAAUGGGCGCGGAGCCCGAGCCCCUGACAGCGCCAUAAAUUGGCCGUGCAAAGCCGAGCGCUAGGUGGUCCCCCCUGGAGAAAAGAGCCGCCGCCGAGGGCGCGAAAAGGCGAGUCCGGGAGCCCGCCAGGGAGCGAGUGGCGCGUUUUCCAGAUCACCUUGUUGGAACUUAGCGUAGCAGAGGAAGAACACCAUGGAAUAAGGAGAAAGGAGAUACAAGUAGCCUCUCCAGGAAGAAUGUGACUGAAUACUUUUUAUACAAAACCACAAAAUUAGAUAAAUAUGUAUUUAAGUGUUAUUCCUGAAAGCUGGAGAAAGAAAUGUUACUUCUAAGAAUUGUUUAGCGAAGGAAUAAGAAAAUGUGAUGCUUGGAAGAAAAAACACACUGCCGAGAGGCCUUGCUGCUGAGUGUGCUGAACAAUAGACAACCUCUAAGGAUGCUCGCCUGCAAUUCCGGCUCUGCCAUCAAUUCACUGUAUGCCUUUGGAAACUUGAAAAUUACACAUCUGACUUAAGUCUGUGGGAGCCACAGUGCUGUAGAGGGUCUUGCACUGGCAAUUGAAUGCUGCACCUCAUUGGCUAGAAUCAGUCACAUGACCACACCCAAUCUCAGGAAGGCCAGAAAAUGCAAUCCCACAAUGCAGCUGGAAGACAGCUAACUGGAAAUCAAUGCUGAGAAGUCCUAAGAAAUGCCACAGAAAGACAAAGAGAUCAUCUACAAGACAUGAAUGAUGUUCAGAAUUACUUGUCAUGCCCUUUGCUUGGGGCUGAAAACAAGAUGCAGUCACACAGAUUUCAAUGGAGUGUGUACUCUAGAGGCAGACUGCCUGGGAUCAAAAUGCUUGCAGUAUAAGCAUUGACAGCUUCCAUAACUUGUCUCUUCCCAGUAUGCAACUAAGACAUGCCUGAGUGAAGUUUCCUAGGAGCCAAAUAAUUAAUCCAACAUUUAUCUGAAAUGCUGAACUAACUUGCAUAAUUCUUCAAAUGAAUAUCACACCUUCGAUGGGGACAUACAAAUUGUUUCAACCUGAGGCUUGAAAAUAUGUGUCAUAAAGCAUUCUGAUUUAUCAAGAACACGUUGUAAGUUGUUGAAUUUGGAAUGUAGCUACCUAACUUCCUGAAUAUUUUAAUAAAAUACCUGUAAAAUUACACAAUCAAAACUAUACCUCCACCGAGCAAAGUGACAGAGAUGGUACUAACAUCAACAAAAAGAAUCUUUCCAACCAUGUAAGGUUGUAAUGUUAAAUUCCCAUUCACGAUCAAAAUUCCACAUAUUUACAACCUGCAAACAUCCCAAAUUCACACUUCAACAUCUGUGUGGCUGCCAACUUCUACUGAAAUCUGUAGCAUGCUUUUUUAGAAGUGGAGGAAAAAAGAAUAAAAAACCUGAGAAAGUGUGUAUGAAAAAUACUAGACAGGUCUUUCACUUGGACACUUGUGUACUACAGCACACAUUUGAUUUACUUGGGCAGAACCACUUAAUCACUGGGUAUUGGCUUUGCAGUCCCGAUCUACAAGCAGAGUGUGGCCCAAAUGCUGCGUGUAUCUUUAGAAGGUUUUUAAGACAAAGGGAAUGGCCCUAAAGGAGCUGAAAAGCAUGAGGAGACCACUCUAGACCUCAAAGGAGAUGCAAGGUUGUGGAAGAUUAAAGCUGCUGAAAAUAAAGAGAGAAAGGAUUCUUUCAAGAAAGAAGAGGCAGAAUGAUAAUUCUCUUAAGCUGUCUCGUGAGCAUCCCUAACACAGCAGAGAUAUCAAGCUGAUAAUAUAAAUUCAAGACAAAAUGUCUGAACACUCAUCAGAAACUGUCUUUUAGUUUGCGGAGAAAUUUGUGCCUGACAUUUGAAAUUUUCAAGAUAAAUAAAAAAAUCGUGGCCACAUA